rnacentral:misc_RNA from 1 species
AACGCACAUUGCGCCCGCCAGCACUCUGGCGGGCAUGCCUGUCCGAGCGUCAUUUCAACCCCUCAAGCCCUGCUUGGUGUUGGGGAUCGGCCGCCCCCGGGCGUCGCCGGCCCUGAAAUGAAGUGGCGGUCCCGCCGUGGAACCUCUGCGCAGUAGCAACACUCGCACUGGCGACCGGCGGCGACCACGCCCAACCCCCCUAUCUUUACAGGUUGACCUCGGAUCAGGUAGGAAUACCCGCUGAACUUAA